rnacentral:lncRNA from 1 species
AGAGGAGCUGCAAAACCAAGGGACUUGGGAGAGGGAGCAUAGCAUCCGGCAGAGUUGAAAACUGGCUGAAUCAGGUCUGUAGACAUAUUUUAUUCAGUUCCUAAAGUGUUCAAAAUAUUUUUGGAGUAGUUAGCAACAUUUAAGAGCACUGAGUGUGGCUGUACAAUGUUGUGAAUGUAUUUCAUGUCACUGAAUUGCCUACUUUUUUAAUGGCCACACCUAUGGCAGAUGGAAGUUCCUGGACCAGGGAUUAAACCCACACCUCCUGGGCCACUGCAGUUGGAUCCCUAACCCACUGCACCACAGUGGUGGUAACGAACUCAACUAGUAUCCAUGGGGGCGCAUGUUUGGUUCCUGGCCCCACUUAGUGGGUUAAGGAUCUGGCAUUGCUGCGAGCUGCGUGGUAGGUAGUGGAUGAGGUUUAGAUCUGACAUAGCUGUGGCUGUGGUGUAGGCUGGCAGUUGCAGCUCCAAUUCAAGCUCUGACCUGAGAACUUCCAUAUAGAAUUCAGAUAAAGUAAAAGUCUCUUUCAAAUCCUUAUGUCACUGUCUUCCACAGAGGUAGUAAUAACUAUUGGAUUGCUGUGUACCUUUCCAGGUAGUUUCCUAUACAUUUACAAAUACUGACAAACACAUGUAAAUAAUAGUUGCUUGCUUUGUUUGCUGUAUAUAUGUGGGAGUGUAGAAUUUCUGGGUCAUAAGGUAUAUGGAUUUUAAUUUUAAAGGAUGCUUUCAAAUAGCCCUUGGAAUGGUUACGCUAACUUAUAUUUCUUCCUUUCUCCUCUUUCCUUCCUUCCUUCUCCCUCCCUUUCUCUCUUUCUUUCUUUCUUUGGCUGCAUCCAUGGUAUAUGGAAGCUCCCAGGCUAGGGCUCAAAUUAGAGCUGCAGCUACUGGCCUACGCCACAGUCACAGCCAUGUCCCAUCUGAGCCGCAUCGGAAGCUACACUGCAGCUCAUGGUGCCGGAAUCUUAACCCACUGAGCAGGGCCAGGGAUUGAAUCUGAAUCUUCAUGGAUACUCAUUGGGUUUGUUACUGCUAAGCCACAAAGGGAACACCUAUAUUUUCUACUGGUGGUUUAUGAGAGUAACUAUUUUUUCACACCCUUGUCAACAUUCAAUUUUAGCAAAUUAUCCUUCUUCACAAUUAGAUGAGUGAACAGUUAUUUAACUUCUUUUUGCCUUGGUUUCCCCGUGUGUUGAAGUGAGCAGAUUGAGGAUUAGGUGAGCUACUAUACAUAUUUCAUUACUAUUCCUUUCGUCCUUAUUGCACUUUGGGUUUAGUGUUCUAUUACGCUGAAUUUGAAUACCUGCUUUUCAGCCUUGACCUUGGGCCAGUCAUUUAACCCUUCCCCUUCCAAGUGAUAGUUUCUACUGCUGUGAAAUGGAGUUAAUACUUCAUAGAGUUUCUGUGAGGACUCACACAGUGUGCCUAUUACAUAGUAGGUGCUUGAUACAUGUUGCGUGUUUACCUGGACUUCAAGGUUUUGUCCCUCUUCUAAGUAAGUCACAGGAAGUGAGGAUGCCUAGGCCUGGAGAGUACCAGAGUGUGCUCCUUUUGCAAAGAGCUUUGGCUGCAGGUUAUCAGGAUUUGCCAUGGAUUCCAAAACUCUCAAACUAUCUAGAAAGCUGUCUAUGCAGCAAUGCCGGGUGCCAUGCCUGAGAGAAUCAAAGAAAAUCCCAGCCUCUUAGAAAGUUUGAAGACGUCAUGCCCCUUUUCUCUACUUGGGGCUAUAUUCUCCUUCCCUGGACAGUACUGACGGGUGGGUAAAAAAAAACACAGACUUGAAGUUAGUGCUAGUUUCUCGCCCUUGCUGUGUGACCUUGGGCAAAUUUGCUUUCUCUCUCUGAGCCUGUUUCUGAGAAAUGAGAAAUAGGGUUGUUGUGAAUAUAAGCGAAAUGAUAUUUGUAGAGAACAUUAGUAAGGUGCUUGGCUCAGGGUCAGAGUUUGAGGUGAUGUGUUUGCAGACUGUCAGUGGCAAUGGAGAGAGUGAUACAAUUAGGCAUGCAUUUUUAAGCCAGGAAAGGGUCUCUUUGGGGUUUUUUAAAAUGAUUUUCAUAAAGUAAGGAGCAAAAGGAAAAGAGGUUAGCAGUCUGGGAGAGAGGCAAAUUAACCUUAGUGCCUCAUUUUCAAGACCCCUGUAUACCUAGGGUAAGGGGGUGUUCUAUUUUGCUUGUUUUAAAACUCAAAGUUUCCGUAUGUCUACACAUAUGUUCCUCAUAUCACUAUUAAAAUAUAUACUUAACACUGACUUUUUGAAAAAUAUGUGCAUAUUUAUUUAUUUACUUAUUUAUUUUGUCUUUGUUAGGGCUUUAGGGCCGCACCUGAGGCAUAUGGAGGUUCCCAGGCUAGGGAAUUGAAGCUGUAGCUGCCGGGCUGUGCCACAGCCACAGCAAUGCAGGCCAACCCCAUAUCCUCAACCCACUGAGCAAGGCCAGGGAUAGAAGCUGUGUCCUCAUGGCUACUAGUCAGAUUUUUUUCCACUGAGCCAUGACGGAACUCCUAAUACAUGCAUGUUUAAAUAAAUAUAUAGUACCAAAGGGUAUUUUGGUUUUUGAUAUUUCAUGUAUUUUUUUAUUGAAGCACAGUUGAUUUAUAAAGUAUAAAGUAUAAAAUUAUUAAAGUAGUGUUUGAUUCGGGUAUAGAGCAAAGUGAUUCAUUUUUAUGCAUAUAUAACAGGAACUCCAAUAUUUAUCUUUCUUGCUUCCUUAGUAUAAUCUCUAGGUCCAUCCAUGUUGUUGCCAAAUAGCAUUAUCUCAUUUUUCAACGACUGAGUAUUAUUCCACUGUGUGUAUUAUAUGUGUGUAUAUGUGUGUGUGGUACACAUACAUACCACAUCUUCUCUAUCCAUUCAUCUGCUGAUGGACUUUUAGGCUGCUUCCGUGUGUUGGCUAUUUUAAAUGGUGCUGCAGCCAACACUGGGGUGCACAUUUCUUUUCAAAUUAUGGUUUGGAGUUCCCAUCGUGGAGCAAUGGUUAACGAAUCCGACUAGGAACCAUGAGGAUUAGGGUUUGAUCCCUGGCCUUGCUCAGUGGGUUAAGGAUCUGGCGUUGCCAUGAGCUGUGGUAUAGGUCGCAGAUGUGGCUCAGAUCCCAAGUUGCUGUGGCUGUGGUGUAGGCCAGAAGCUACAGCUCUGAUUCCCUGGGAACCUCUAUAUACCACGAGUGCAGCCCUAAAAAGAUAAAAGAUGAAAAAAUUAAAAAAAUUUUUUUAAUUCCUCUUCUUAAGAUGUGUUAAGGACCCAACCCUGGGUCAGUGAGGAUGUGGGUUUGAUUCCUGGCCUUGCUCAGUGGAUUAAGGAUCUGGUGUUGCCAAGCUGUAGCAUAGUUCGCAGACAGGACUCAGAUCUGGCGUUGCUAUGGCUGUGGUGCAGGCUGGCAGCUGAAGCUCCAAUUCAACCCCUAGCCUGGGAACGUCCAUAUGCUGCAGGAACGGCCCUAAAAAGAACAACAACAAAAAAAGGUACAUACAGCAUGGGUACUGUUUCUGCUGCAGCAUGGGUUAAGGAUCAGGCAUUGCUGCAGCUGUGGUGUAGGUCACAGCUGUGGCUUGGAUUUGAUUCCUGGCCCAGGAACUUGCAUACACCUUGGGUGUAGCCCUAAAAAAAAAAGUACAUAAAGCACAUAUUUUUAAUCACACUUUCCUUAAUGAUUAGCUAUACUUGGGAAAUAGUGAUUCAGAUGAUAUUCUUAUGACCAUUCCUUACCUAAUAUAGCACCCUUCCACUCUCCCCAUAAAACUCUUAUUUUCUUGCCCAUGCUUCUGCUACUGCAUGCAGUUUGUGUGCCAGGCGCAGAGUGAGGCCAAAGAAACCGCAACUUGGAAUCUGUAGCAGAGAAAGGUUUAUUGCAGAGCCAAGCAAGGAGAAUGCAUGAUUCAUGCUCAAAAACCCAGAAGUCCCUGAUGGCUUUUGGGGAGCAGUUUUUAAUAGGCAGCAGGGUGUGAGACUUUCUUCUGAUUGGUUGGUGGUGAGGUAAUAGGGUGGUGCUCCAGGAAUCUUGUGCUCAGCCUGAAGUUACCAUCUUUCACCUGAUGGGGCCUUGCUUAGUUCCUGCAGAAGAACUCAAAGAUUCUGUCAUGCGUGUUCCUUGAGAGGGAACUAGGAUUCCCUCUCCAAAGCUGCACUGUGGGGUUCCUGACUGCUCCACCUUGUUUCAGCAUUCCCGCUUUUGUUUGAUUAGGAACUGUUUGAAUCUGCCCGUUGGAACCCGAGGGAGGUGAAGGAGGCUGAAACCUUUUCUCUGCAAAAUAAGAAAUUAGGGAAGGGGGACAAGACAGAAAGGAUUCAUACAAGGAAGGCCCUCACAGGGUCCUGCUCCAUUUCACUUCCACCCUGAUUCUCAGAGCUUUGGGGACAAGUGGAAGAAAGAAAAGGGUGUAGUCAUAUAUGCAGGGGCUUGCAGAAUUUGCUUAACAGUAGAAAGACCAGUGAGGAGCCUAGGGACUCUCUCUUAAAGGACUAGACCAGGGUUUUUCACCCCUGGCACUACUGACUUUUUGACCCUGUAAGUUGAUAGGUUGGGGGGGCCUCUAGAGAAAGAGCACCAGGAGUGGCUUUGUUGAUACAAAAAUCCAUUUUGGCCUAAGUCAUUUUGUGAUCUAAGCCUGGCAAGGGCAAUGCUUGUCCUUGUACAGGUCUCAGUAAUUAAUGGUCUUAAGGGAGAGAAUGCAGAAAUGAGGGAGGAGCAGUCAGGAAACAACAGUGCAGCCUUGGGGCAGGGUCCUGGUUCCUCAAGGGAUGUAUAUAUACAAUAACAUACUUCUGAGUUUUGCAGGAAGUAAGGUCCCCACCCAGAUGAAAGACUGAAUGAUGAUGUUGACUUUCCAGACUUCAAUCAACUACAGCUUGUUGACUCUGUCAGCCUUUGAGUCAAUUCUGUGCUGCAUUAUGCUCUACUCAAGCCCCCUCCUGAAUAUGCUUAAAGCUUCCCCAGUUUUGCUGUUUGCUGAGACAUUGCUUCAGGAAGGAUCCCUGGUGUUCUCCUUACUUGCUGCAAGUAAUAAAUCUUUCCUUCUGAUUUUUGGCUUGGUUCUAUCUAUUGGGUGGAGACCCGCUGAGAGGUGGAGUGGACCCAGUUUUUGGAUAACAGCCUCCUUCACCAUGGGGCCUUCUUUUGUGCGUCCCUGGCUUCCAUCCACUAGAUGCCAGUAGCUCCUCUACCUCAUUGUGAAAAGAUCUUAUGUCUCCUGGGGCCAAAAUCUCUCCCACCUUGAGAACCAGUGCUCCAGACACUUCUAUGGGGAUAGAUUACUCACUGAACAUUAACUCAGUGGAGAAAUGAUCACAGGAGGAUGCUAGCUUGCUCUCCUGUGGGAGACAGUCAUCAAGCCACCUGCAGGGUCUUGUCCACAUGCACCCAUUUUUUUUUUCUUCCCCCCUCCCAUUAUGCAACACGCACAUGAACACAGUCUCACAGGAAAACAUCCACAUAAUAUAUUCUCCUUAUAGCUUCCAACCUAAGGGAAUCCCUAAAUUUAUUUACUUUGCUUCUUAGGGGUGCACCUGCAGCAUAGGGAGGUUCUCAGGCUAGGGGUCAAAUCAGAGCUACAGCUACUGGCCUACAUUAUAGCCACAGCAACAUAGGAUCAGAGCCGCAUUUGCGACCUACACCACAGCUCACAGCAACGCCAGAUCCUUAGCCCACUGAGUGAGGCCAGGGAUCCAACCCGAAACCUCAUGGUUCCCAGUCAGAUUCGUUUCCACUGUGUCACAACAGGAACUCUGGGAAUCUCUAAAUUUUAACAUAGAAAUCAGUUUUGUUUUUUUCCUUUUUAAAUAAAUGGGAAUUCACUGUAUGUUUUGUUCAACUUGAUAUUUCUUCAGUUAACAAUCCAAUUAAAAAUGGGAGACUGGGAGUUCUUGGUAACCACCUGGCUCAGUGGUAACAAACCCGAACAGUAUCCAUGACUUGGGUUCAACCCACGGCC